rnacentral:rRNA from 1 species
UGGGGAAUCUUCCGCAAUGGACGAAAGUCUGACGGAGCAACGCCGCGUGAGUGAUGAAGGUCUUCGGAUUGUAAAGCUCUGUUAAUCGGGACGAAAGAGCCUAGUGUGAAUAAUGCUAGGAAGUGACGGUACCGGAAUAGAAAGCCACGGCUAACUACGUGCCAGCAGCCGCGGUAAUACGUAGGUGGCAAGCGUUGUCCGGAAUUAUUGGGCGUAAAGCGCGCGCAGGCGGAUCUGCCAGUCUGUCUUAAAAGUUCGGGGCUUAACCCCGUGAUGGGAUGGAAACUACAGAUCUAGAGUAUCGGAGAGGAAAGUGGAAUUCCUAGUGUAGCGGUGAAAUGCGUAGAUAUUAGGAAGAACACCAGUGGCGAAGGCGACUUUCUGGACGAAAACUGACGCU